CGAUCAGUAACUGGUGUGAGAGCACGACCAGUCACACGGGCACUGAGACACGGGCCCGACUCCUACGGGAGGCAGCAGUAAGGAAUAUUGGUCAAUGGACGCAAGUCUGAACCAGCCAUGCCGCGUGAAGGAUGAAGGUCCUCUGGAUUGUAAACUUCUUUUAUGUGGGACGAAAACUUCUUUUCUAAGAAGACUGACGGUACCAUAGGAAUAAGCACCGGCUAACUCCGUGCCAGCAGCCGCGGUAAUACGGAGGGUGCAAGCGUUAUCCGGAUUCACUGGGUUUAA
rnacentral:rRNA from 1 species